ACAUCACGAGUUUGAUCAUGGCUCAGAAUCAACGCUGGCGGCGCGCCUAACACAUGCAAGUCGAGCGAGAAAGGGGCAACCUGAGUAAAGCGGCGUACGGGUGAGUAACACGUGGAUCAUCUACCCUUUUGUGGGGAAUAACCCUGGGAAACCGGAGCUAAUACCGCAUAAGUCCGAGAGGUGAAAGGAGCAAUCCGCUAUCAGAUGUGCCCAAAUGGGAUUAGCUAGUAGGUGAGGUAAAGGCUCACCUAGGCGACGAUCUCUAGCUGGUCUGAGAGGAUGAUCAGCCACAUUGGGACUGAGACACGGCCCAGACUCCUACGGGAGGCAGCAGUAGGGAAUAUUGCACAAUGGAGGAAACUCUGAUGCAGCCAUGCCGCGUGUGUGAAGAAGGCCUUCGGGUUGUAAAGCACUUUCAGAGGGGAGGAGAAUGACGUUACCCUCAGAAGAAGCACCGGCUAACUCCGUG
rnacentral:rRNA from 1 species